rnacentral:rRNA from 1 species
GACGAACGCUGGCGGCGUGCUUAACACAUGCAAGUCGAACGGAAAGGCCCUGCUUUUGUGGGGUGCUCGAGUGGCGAACGGGUGAGUAACACGUGAGUAACCUGCCCUUGACUUUGGGAUAACUUCAGGAAACUGGGGCUAAUACCGGAUAGGAGCUCCUGCUGCAUGGUGGGGGUUGGAAAGUUUCGGCGGUUGGGGAUGGACUCGCGGCUUAUCAGCUUGUCGGUGGGGUAGUGUCUUACCAAGGCUUUGACGGGUAGCCGGCCUGAGAGGGUGACCGGACACAUUGGGACUGAGAUGCGGCCCAGACUCGUACGGGAGGCAGCAGUGGGGAGUGUUGCACAAUGCGCGGAAGCCUGAUGCAGCAACGCCGCGUGCGGGAUGACGGCCUUCGGGUUGUAAACCGCUUUCGCCUGUGACGAAGCGUGAGUGACGGUAAUGGGUAAAGAAGCACCGGCUAACUACGUG